rnacentral:tRNA from 1 species
GAUAAAGUGGCUCAGAGGGUAAAGCGUCUGCCUGCAAUGCAGAAGACCUGGGUUCGAUCUCUGGGUCA